rnacentral:tRNA from 4 species
UAGCUCAGUGGUAGAGCUAUCGGCUGUUAACCGAUCGGUCGUAGGUUCGAAUCCU